rnacentral:rRNA from 1 species
GACGAACGCUGGCGGCGUGCCUAACACAUGCAAGUGGAGCGACGAACCAGACUUCGGUCUGGGGCCAAGCCGCGAACGGGUGAGUAACACGUGGGUAACCUGCCCCGAUGAUCGGGACGAACCCGGGGAAACCCGGGCGUAAUACCGAAUGUGGUCGCGGUCCGUGAGGACUGUGACGAAAGGAAGCUUCGGCCUCCGCAUCGGGAGUGGGCCCGCGGCCCAUUAGCUUGUUGGUGGGGUAAGUGGCCUACCAAGGCAUCGAUGGGUAGCUGGUCCGAGAGGACGAUCAGCCACACUGGGACUGAGACACGGCCCAGACUCCUACGGGAGGCAGCAGUGGGGAAUCUUGCGCAAUGCGCGAAAGCGUGACGCAGCAACGCCGCGUGGGGGAAGAAGGCUUUCGGGUCGUAACCCUUCAGUUGGACGAAGCUUCGCCGGUGAAUAGCCGGCCGGAGUGACGGUACCUUCACAAGAAGCCCCGGCUAACUACGUGCCAGCAGCCGCGGUAAGGCACGACUGU